GCUGAAGCCGUCGCGCAGAGCCGCUUUCUCCUCUGCUCUGCCGCCGCUGCGCUCCCCCUCCGCCCGCGCCGCCGCCUCCUCAACCGUCGCCCCGCGCCUCUCUCAUCUGCAAAAACCCUCGCCCGCACUGGCCCCCUUUCCUUUCCCUGUGCCGCUCCCUUCCUCCUCCUCCUCUGCCGCCGCCAUCGCUGCAUCAGGGACGACGGCGUCUCACCUCGACGCUCGAAGCCUCCGCGUUUAAGCCCCGUCCUCGUGGUGGCACGGAUCUGCGUAUCUUCUCAGGCAAAGCCAAUCCUUCUCUUUCCUAAGUCGGUUGGAUCUUCCAUGAAGGAAUUCCGCUUUCAUACUUUGGCAGUUCCACGUACUACUGUUUCCUCCAACUGGUUCUUGGGAGCACACCUGUUUUCCAAUGGACAUGACAAGUGGGUUGUUUGUCUAGCAUAAAUGUAAAUCGAUUACUACAAACUAUGCAUGCAUUAGUUCAUCCGGGACAGUACAAUGCUGCACAGUGCAGGGAAGAGGGAGUUAGGGACACAAUAUGUGUCGAUCUAAAAGCAUGAACUCAUGCUGAAUCUAGGGGUCGUAGUCGUACCACCCAUCCAGGGGUAGAAAAUCUGGUCUCUUGAUUGUUAUCACUGUAAUUAACCACUGAUCUUUCUUUCCUGUUCAUGAAAUUCCUUCUUCUUUGCAGUACAAAUACAUGGGAAUAGAGCUGCAUCUUGGUGAGGAGACUCUGGACCUUAUUAAUCCUAGCGACCAAGCGACUCGCUAGGAUUUUCAAUCAAAGUUAUCAAAACUGCCAUGACAUCUCUUUAUGUCAGUACUAAGCAACAAUCUGAGCAAAGAAUUUUGAGUCAGGAUGUAAAUGUGGAAGUAUACAAACCACGGCAAAUACAUACAAACAUCAGAGUUCGGCGGCGUGAUGGCCGCGACCACCUUUCAAAGGGGUCUUGACGACCAUUAUGCAUCUAGGUCGUGGCAGCGCACGACCUUGUGUGGUGUUGAGUUUGGGGCUUUGCUAUAGAAUGCUUGAAGGCUGAAUUUUUUUUUUGA